GAUGAACGCUGGCGGCGUGCCUAAUACAUGCAAGUCGAGCGAACGGACGAGAAGCUUGCUUCUCUGAUUUUAGCGGCGGACGGGUGAGUAACACGUGGAUAACCUACCUAUAAGACUGGGAUAACUUCGGGAAACCGGAGCUAAUACCGGAUGAUAUUUUGAACCGCAUGGUUCAAAAGUGAAAGACGGUCUUGCUGUCACUUAUAGAUGGAUCCGCGCUGCAUUAGCUAGUUGGUAAGGUAACGGCUUACCAAGGCAACGAUGCAUAGCCGACCUGAGAGGGUGAUCGGCCACACUGGAACUGAGACACGGUCCAGACUCCUACGGGAGGCAGCAGUAGGGAAUCUUCCGCAAUGGGCGAAAGCCUGACGGAGCAACGCCGCGUGAGUGAUGAAGGUCUUCGGAUCGUAAAACUCUGUUAUUAGGGAGGAACAUAUGUGUAAGUAACUGUGCACAUCUUGACGGUACCUAAUCAGAAAGCCCCGGCUAACUACGUG
rnacentral:rRNA from 1 species